rnacentral:rRNA from 1 species
GAUCUGGGAGGCAGCAGUGGGGAAUAUUGGACAAUGGGCGAAAGCCUGAUCCAGCCAUGCCGCGUGUGUGAAGAAAGUCUUCGGAUUGUAAAGCACUUUAAGUUGGGAGGAAGGGCUGUAGGCUAAUAUCCUGUGGUUUUGACGUUACCAACAGAAUAAGCACCGGCUAACUUCGUGCCAGCAGCCGCGGUAAUACGAAGGGUGCAAGCGUUAAUCGGAAUUACUGGGCGUAAAGCGCGCGUAGGUGGUUCGUUAAGUUGGAUGUGAAAGCCCCGGGCUCAACCUGGGAACUGCAUCCAAAACUGGCGAGCUAGAGUACGGUAGAGGGUAGUGGAAUUUCCUGUGUAGCGGUGAAAUGCGUAGAUAUAGGAAGGAACACCAGUGGCGAAAGCGACA